AGGGUUAUAGUUAACUAUAACAUUUAAUUUGCAAUUAAAAAGUAUUGAUAAACUCAAUUUACCUUA
rnacentral:tRNA from 1 species